rnacentral:rRNA from 1 species
GAUGCAACGCGAAGAACCUUACCAAGGCUUGACAUCCUCGGAACCCUCUUGAAAGGGAGGGGUGCCUUCGGGAGCCGAGAGACAGGUGGUGCAUGGCUGUCGUCAGCUCGUGUCGUGAGAUGUUGGGUUAAGUCCCGCAACGAGCGCAACCCACGCUUUUAGUUGCCAGCAUUAAGUUGGGCACUCUAGAGAGACUGCCSGUGACAAACCGGAGGAAGGUGUGGAUGACGUCAAGUCAGCAUGCCCCUUACGCCUUGGGCUACACACGUGCUACAAUGCUUCGGACAAAGGGCAGCCAGACGGCGACGUCGAGCCAAUCCCAUAAACCGAGGCACAGUUCAGAUUGCAGGCUGCAACUCGCCUGCAUGAAGGCGGAAUCGCUAGUAAUCGCAGGUCAGCAUACUGCGGUGAAUACGUUCCCGGGCCUUGUACACACCGCCCGUCACACCAUGGGAGUUGGUCAUGCCCGAAGUCGUUACUCCAACCGUUCGCGGAGGAGGACGCCGAAGGUGGGGCUGAUGACUGGGGUGAAGUCGUAACAAGGUAACCGU